UAGAAGAGAAAAAUAGCAAGAAAGGCAUUUUGUCAAAGAGAGAAACAAAUUCUCUCUAGUUGUUCUUUGCUUUGUAUCAUUGUUUUAUCUUCCUUUGUGAGUGUGUGAGGUUGGGUGUAUUUGGGUCUUUGGGAAAUUGAGUGGUAAACACUAUUGUAUAUCCCCAUUGAUUAUAGUGGAAUACUCCGUCGUCUCCAAACUGGAUGUAGGCAAUUGCCGAACCAGUAUAAAUCUUGGUGUUCUUCUUGUUGUAAUUUUCUGUUCAAUUUUUUUUUCUCCUGCCAGUAAUUGUUUAUUUUUCACUCACAGUUGGUUGACGCUUCCGCACAACAGAUAAGUCGUUGCCACAGCUACGUAUACCCAGAAAAGAAAUACUUGACUCGAAUUUGAUGAUAAAUUUUCCAGAUUUUUGAGAGAGAUAUGCACCAAUUGGGCAGACAUUGUAUAGAUAAUCAGCUUCAGCUGGGCUGGGAAAGCUGAGCAGAGUAACAACAAAUAUGGAGGAGAGAAUGGAAACAAGCAUCAGAUUAUGCACGGAAGACAUUUUGGUUUUCAUGAUCUUUUGAUCACUGAUCAGCCCAGUCCCUGUUUCUAUUUCUAAAGCCAAUUUCUUAUGUCCCUUAGAGUUGAAUCAUGUGGAAAUUAAAAAGCUUAUCUAAAGUCAUAAUUUUUAGAGGUGUUUGCUUCAUCAUCAGUGUGAUGUAAUUAUAAAUUGACUGGAGUGUUUUAAGGUAGCGGUCCUCUAAGCUGACAGUCAACAAAGGGGGUCGAGACUCGAGACUUGGGUAGAAUUUUCAGCCCAACUGCAUUCUUGCUUUUUCUUUUUCCUCAGUUUUUCAAUAUUUACACCUACAGGGGGUGGUCUGCAAUAAUACAAGAGUUCGGUUUUAUACAA